rnacentral:rRNA from 1 species
UACGGGGGGGCAAGCGUUGUUCGGAAUUAUCUGGGUCGGUAAAGGGCGUGUAGGCGGCCAACUAAGUCCGACGAUGAAAUCCCCAGGGCUUAACCUGGGAACCUGCGUCGGAUACUGGAUGGCUUGAAUCGGGAGAGGAUGCAGAAUUCCAGGUGUAGCGGUGAAAUGACGUAGAUAUCGGGAGGAACACCGGUGGCGAAGGCGGCCUCUGGACGGAUACUGACGCUGAGACGCGAAAGCGUGGGGAGCAAACAGG